rnacentral:rRNA from 1 species
AAACCAGCACCUCAAGUUGUCAGGAUGAUUAUUGGGCCUAAAGCAUCCGUAGCCGGCUCUGUAAGUUUUCGGUUAAAUCUGUACGCUCAACGUACAGGCUGCCGGAAAUACUGCAAGGCUAGGGAGUGGGAGAAGUAGACGGUACUCGGGAGGAAGUGGUAAAAUGCUUUGAUCUCCCGAUGACCACCUGUGGCGAAGGCGGUCUACUAGAACACGUCCGACGGUGAGGGAUGAAAGCUGGGGGAGCAAACCGGAUUAGAAACCCCGGUAGUCC